rnacentral:rRNA from 1 species
CCUACGGGGGGCAGCAGUGAGGAAUAUUGGUCAAUGGACGAGAGUCUGAACCAGCCAAGUAGCGUGAAGGAUGACUGCCCUAUGGGUUGUAAACUUCUUUUAUAUGGGAAUAAAAUGUUCCACGUGUGGGAUUUUGUAUGUACCAUAUGAAUAAGGAUCGGCUAACUCCGUGCCAGCAGCCGCGGUAAUACGGAGGAUCCGAGCGUUAUCCGGAUUUAUUGGGUUUAAAGGGAGCGUAGGUGGAUUGUUAAGUCAGUUGUGAAAGUUUGCGGCUCAACCGUAAAAUUGCAGUUGAAACUGGCAGUCUUGAGUACAGUAGAGGUGGGCGGGAUUCGUGGUGUAGCGGUGAAAUGCUUAGAUAUCACGAAGAACUCCGAUUGCGAAGGCAGUUCACUGGACUGCAACUGACACUGAGGCUCGAAAGUGUGGGUAUCAAACAGGAUUAGAUACCCCAGUAGUC